UACGGGAGGCAGCAGUGGGGAAUCUUCCGCAAUGGGCGAAAGCCCGACGGAGCAACGCCGCGUGAGUGAAGACGGCCUUCGGGUUGUAAAGCUCUGUUAUAGGGGACGAACGGCCGGUAGCGAAGAGGUAGCCGGCAUGACGGUACCGUAAGAGAAAGCCACGGCUAACUACGUGCCAGCAGCCGCGGUAAU
rnacentral:rRNA from 1 species